rnacentral:rRNA from 1 species
CUACGGGGCGCUGCAGUGGGGAAUAUUGGACAAUGGGGGAAACCCUGAUCCAGCAAUGCCGCGUGUGUGAAGAGGGCCUGCGGGUUGUAAAGCACUUUCGGUUGGGAGGACUGCUUCUAGCACUAAUAUUGUUGGAAGUUGACGUUACCUUCAGAAGAAGCACCGGCUAACGCCGUGCCAGCAGCCGCGGUAAUACGGAGGGUGCAAGCGUAAAUCGGAAUUACUGGGUGUAAAGCGCGCGUAGGCGGCUAGGUCAGUCGGGUGUGAAAGCCCCGGGCUUAACCUGGGAACUGCAUCCGAUACUGUCUAGCUUGAGUACAGGAGAGGAGAGUGGAAUUCCACAUGUAGCGGUGAAAUGCGUAGAUAUGUGGAGGAACACCAAUGGCGAAGGCAGCUCUCUGGCCUGAUACUGACGCUGAGGUGCGAAAGCGUGGGGAGCAAACAGGAUUAGAUACCCUUGUAGUC